UGCCUUGUCGUCUAAUCGGUAGGACACAUGACUCUGGAUCAUGUUGUUGAGGUUCGAGUCCUCACGAGGCAG
rnacentral:tRNA from 1 species